rnacentral:rRNA from 1 species
UACAGAGGUCUCAAGCGUUGUUCGGAUUCAUUGGGCGUAAAGGGUGCGUAGGCGGCGCGGUAAGUCGGGUGUGAAAUCUCGGAGCUUAACUCCGAAACUGCAUUCGAUACUGCCGUGCUUGAGGACUGGAGAGGAGACUGGAAUUUACGGUGUAGCGGUGAAAUGCGUAGAUAAUCGUAAGGAAGACCAGUGGCGAAGGCGGGUCUCUGGACAGGUUCCUGACGCUGAGGCACGAAGGUCAGGGGAGCAAACGGGG